UAUCGUUUUAGGCUACAUUCCAAAAACAUCCUUUCCGAGGAAAAUUUUACUCGAUGUAAUAUAGGAUACGUUACGUGUAUUAUAUAUUUCGAGUAAAAUUUUCCUCGGAAAGGACGUUUUGGAAUAUAACCCUAGAAUAAAGACGUAGGUCCAAUGGAGAUAACGUAACCAUAACCAUAAACGUAAGAAGUUGAAAGACUGGUAAUUUAUUAAAGAGUCUACAAUGCCGAUGAAGCUAUCCGUAAAAGUUGAUUAAUUCGAACUUUUUUUGGUUACAGUAACGAAAGAGGUUAGAUCCUUGGAGAGACGGAAAUCCAUUGGGCUAUUAAGCUAUUAAGAGAAAUGGUUAUAGGGGAUAAUAAGGACAAAGUAAAAAAACGCAAAAUUCAUGGCACAGUAUUGCAAAAUUAUUGAAUGCAACAGCUGCUGACUGUGAACAUCGUUGGACCCAACUAUGAGAACGUUCACUCGUGAGAGACGAACGUUAAAAGCUGGGCUUCCAUCUGGUUCAGAAUCCUCGCAACAAUUAACUGCUAGUGAGCU